UUAUCUCGUAGUAUACAUUAAAUUGCCAUUAUCAAUCGGUACUGUGGCUACAAAUGCUUUUCAAUUCAGUUACUGAUUGACUUUCAAGACGGUCGUUUGUCUGUUUUUUUUACCUGAUCCUAACGAUAUGUCUCAGCCCAAGCCGAUAUUGUAUUACGACGAGCGCAGUCCGCCGGUCCGCAGUUGUCUUAUGCUAAUCAAAUUGCUCGAUAUAGAUGUCGAGCUCAGGUUUGUGAAUCUCUUCAAGGGCGAGCAAUUCCAGAAAGAUUUCUUAGCGUUGAAUCCCCAGCACAGUGUUCCCACUUUAGUCCACGGUGAUCUGGUGCUGACGGACAGUCAUGCUAUACUCAUUCACCUGGCGGAGAAGUUCGACGAGGGCGGUAGUUUGUGGCCCCAGGAGCACGCAGAACGGAUGAAGGUCCUGAACCUCCUGCUCUUCGAGUGCUCCUUUUUUUUCCGACGUGACAGUGAUUUUAUGGUGAGUGUUUCGCAACUAAAACUAGGUGUUUACAUAUUUGGUUUUUAUUUUUCCCAGUCGGCGAUUGUCCGCCAGGGAUUCGCCCAUGUCGAUGUGGCACAUCAUGAACGCAAGCUGACCGAGGCGUAUACUAUCAUGGAGCGCUACCUGGAAAAUAGCGAUUUUAUGGCCGGGCCACAGGUAAAAAAAAGAGCAGCUCAUCUGAUUGCGAUUCCCUGUCGUUGUGGCGGCUCAAUUAAGUCUAGAAUUUCACCUUUGUUUCCGCGGUUUCAGCUGACGCUCGCCGACUUAUCCAUCGUGACCACAUUGAGCACCGUCAAUCUCAUGUUUCCCCUGUCGCAGUUCCCACGUCUGCGGCGCUGGUUCACCGCGAUGCAGCAGCUGGAUGCCUACGAGGCCAACUGCAGUGGCUUGGCGAAGCUCCGCCAAACGAUGGAGAGCGUCGGUAGCUUUCAGUUCCCAUCCUCAAACGCGGUAGUCACCGAGAAGGUGGAGUAGCACUGGUUAUCAAAAGGCUUGUUUAAUUAAGCAUUGAAUCUGAUUUAAUUUGAUGGUUGCGCCGCACGCCACGUUGCCCCAUACAUGCGACUUUAUUUAUGGGCAAUUCCAACGGCGGACGAUGAUGAUACAAUGACACCCACUGGGAAAUGUCCAAAUGCCUCAGCCUCGCGGAAUCAAAUUGAUAUAUAAAU
rnacentral:misc_RNA from 1 species